UACGAAGGGGGCUAGCGUUGCUCGGAAUCACUGGGCGUAAAGGGUGCGUAGGCGGGUUUUUAAGUCAGGGGUGAAAUCCUGGAGCUCAACUCCAGAACUGCCUUUGAUACUGAAGAUCUUGAGUCCGGGAGAGGUGAGUGGAACUGCGAGUGUAGAGGUGAAAUUCGUAGAUAUUCGCAAGAACACCAGUGGCGAAGGCGGCUCACUGGCCCGGUACUGACGCUGAGGCACGAAAGCGUGGGGAGCAAACAGG
rnacentral:rRNA from 3 species